UACGUAGGGGGCAAGCGUUGUCCGGAUUUAUUGGGCGUAAAGAGCUUGUAGGCGGUUUGUCGCGUCUGCUGUGAAAUUUCGGGGCUCAACCCCGAACUUGCAGUGGGUACGGGCAGACUAGAGUGUGGUAGGGGAGACUGGAAUUCCUGGUGUAGCGGUGAAAUGCGCAGAUAUCAGGAGGAACACCGAUGGCGAAGGCAGGUCUCUGGGCCACUACUGACGCUGAGAAGCGAAAGCAUGGGGGGCGAACAGG
rnacentral:rRNA from 1 species